GACAGAGGGUGCGAACGUUGUUCGGAAUUACUGGGCGUAAAGCGCGUGUAGGCGGUCAUGCAAGUCGGGCGUGAAAUCCCUGGGCUCAACCGAGGAAGUGCGCCCGAAACUGCGUGACUUGAGUUCCGGAGAGGAUGGUGGAAUUCUCGGUGUAGAGGUGAAAUUCGUAGAGAUCGAGAGGAACACCAGUGGCGAAGGCGGCCAUCUGGACGGAAACUGACGCUGAGACGCGAAAGCGUGGGUAGCAAACAGG
rnacentral:rRNA from 1 species